GACGUAGGGGACGAGCGUUGUCCGGAUUUAUUGGGCGUAAAGCGCGCGUAGGCGGCUUGGAAAGUCGGAUGUGAAAAUCCGGGGCUCAACCCCGGACCUGCAUCCGAUACUUCCAGGCUAGAGGUAGGUAGGGGAGAUCGGAAUUCCUGGUGUAGCGGUGAAAUGCGCAGAUAUCAGGAGGAACACCGGUGGCGAAGGCGGAUCUCUGGGCCUUACCUGACGCUGAGGCGCGAAAGCCAGGGGAGCAAACGGG
rnacentral:rRNA from 1 species